rnacentral:rRNA from 1 species
GCCCAAACAAAACACAACGCAACUAAACACCAACACCAAGUAAAACAUUCUAAACCAUUUAAAGUAUAUGAGAUAGAAAUAAUUACAACUGGCGCUAUAGAAAAAGUACCGUAAGGGAAAGAUGAAAGACUACUUUAAAGUACUUAAAAGCAAAGAUUAUACCUUGUACCUUUUGCAUAAUGAAUUAGCCAGAACCAACCUAACAAAGAGCACUUAGCUAGGCACCCCGAAACCAGACGAGCUACCUAAAAACAGUUUUCAGAACGAACCCGUCUAUGUAGCAAAAUAGUGGGAAGAUUUCUAGGUAGAGGUGAAAAGCCUACCGAGCCUGGUGAUAGCUGGUUGUCCAUAAAUGAAUUUCAGUUCUAUCUUAUGUAUACCCAAAUGACACAUACCAUUAACAUAAACAUAAGAAAUAGCCUAAAGAGGGACAGCUCUUUAGACAAAGGAUACAACCUCUUAUAGAGAAUAAACUAUUAACAUAUGUUACUCAGUAGGCCCGAAAGCAGCCAUCAACAAAGAAAGCGUUAAAGCUCUAUAACAUGAUAAAAACAGAUUCCACAAUACAAUACAACAAUUCCUAUAUCUACUAACUGGACAAUUCUAUAAAAAUAUAGAAGAUAAACUGCUAAUACUAGUAAUUAGAAAACUAUUUCUCCGGGCACAAACUUAAAUCAUCUCUAGCAAUAAUUGAUUAUUAACAUUAAGAUAGCAUCAAACCACAUACAAAAUUACUAUCAAUAAAAUGUUAAACCGACCACGGAGUGCCACCCAGGAAAGAUUAAAAGAAGUAAAAGGAACUCGGCAAACACUAACCCCGCCUGUUUACCAAAAACAUCACCUCCAGCAUAAAAAGUAUUGGAGGCACUGCCUGCCCAGUGACAUACGUUUAACGGCCGCGGUAUACUGACCGUGCAAAGGUAGCAUAAUCACUUGUUCUUUAAUUAGGGACUUGCAUGAAUGGCAAAACGAGGGUUUAACUGUCUCUUGCUUCCAAUCAAUGAAACUGACCUUCCCGUGAAGAGGCGGGAAUAAAAAAAUAAGACGAGAAGACCCUAUGGAGCUUUAAUCUAAUAAACCAUUAUAUAAAAACUAACUACACACCAGUAGCUAAAACAAAACUUACAUGGCUUAUAAGAUUUCGGUUGGGGUGACCUCGGAGCACAAAACAACCUCCGAAUGAUCUUGGCUUAGACAAACAAGUCAAAGCAAAAAUCAUUAAUUGACCCAUACAAAAUGAUCAACGAACCAAGUUACCCUAGGGAUAACAGCGCAAUCCUAUUCAAGAGCCCUUAUCGACAAUUAGGGUUUACGACCUCGAUGUUGGAUCAGGACACCCAAAUGGUGCAGCCGCUAUUAAAGGUUCGUUUGUUCAACGAUUAAAGUCCUACGUGAUCUGAGUUCAGACCGGAGCAAUCCAGGUCGGUUUCUAUCUAUUAAACAUUUCUCCCAGUACGAAAGGACAAGAGAAAUAGGGCCAACACAACACCGCGCCUUUCCCCUACAAAGAUGAACAAAUCUCAAUCUUAAACUAAAUACCCACACUGCCUAAGAACAAGGCUCU